AGAGUUUGAUCCUGGCUCAGGACGAACGCUGGCGGCGUGCCUAAUACAUGCAAGUAGAACGCUGAAGAGAGGAGCUUGCUCUUCUUGGAUGAGUUGCGAACGGGUGAGUAACGCGUAGGUAACCUGCCUUGUAGCGGGGGAUAACUAUUGGAAACGAUAGCUAAUACCGCAUAACAAUGGAUGACCCAUGUCAUUUAUUUGAAAGGGGCAAAUGCUCCACUACAAGAUGGACCUGCGUUGUAUUAGCUAGUAGGUGAGGUAACGGCUCACCUAGGCGACGAUACAUAGCCGACCUGAGAGGGUGAUCGGCCACACUGGGACUGAGACACGGCCCAGACUCCUACGGGAGGCAGCAGUAGGGAAUCUUCGGCAAUGGGGGCAACCCUGACCGAGCAACGCCGCGUGAGUGAAGAAGGUUUUCGGAUCGUAAAGCUCUGUUGUAAGUCAAGAACGAGUGUGAGAGUGGAAAGUUCACACUGUGACGGUAGCUUACCAGAAAGGGACGGCUAACUACGUGCCAGCAGCCGCGGUAAUACGUAGGUCCCGAGCGUUGUCCGGAUUUAUUGGGCGUAAAGCGAGCGCAGGCGGUUUGAUAAGUCUGAAGUUAAAGGCUGUGGCUCAACCAUAGUUCGCUUUGGAAACUGUCAAACUUGAGUGCAGAAGGGGAGAGUGGAAUUCCAUGUGUAGCGGUGAAAUGCGUAGAUAUAUGGAGGAACACCGGUGGCGAAAGCGGCUCUCUGGUCUGUAACUGACGCUGAGGCUCGAAAGCGUGGGGAGCGAACAGGAUUAGAUACCCUGGUAGUCCACGCCGUAAACGAUGAGUGCUAGGUGUUGGAUCCUUUCCGGGAUUCAGUGCCGCAGCUAACGCAUUAAGCACUCCGCCUGGGGAGUACGACCGCAAGGUUGAAACUCAAAGGAAUUGACGGGGGCCCGCACAAGCAGUGGAGUAU
rnacentral:rRNA from 1 species